GUAACGCCCCCUCCUCUUCGGCACAAUCCGGCAGCGGCGGGCGUGGAGUGAGCGGGAGCCGGGGUGAGCGCACGAGUGCAGCCGAGCGCAGUAUUUAAGGGGGGAGCCUCUCCCCGCCCUUCCACCCCCCUCCUGGAGUGGCAACUCGCCCGAGAGAUGUCCGCGGUGCAAACCUGCCCCUUGGAACUUGCCAGAUUUCUCCCGGCGGGGUCUGGGACGCGGGUACUGCCCUCAGUCGCCGCAUGCCUGGCCUGGUUCCUGGCGCUCUCCAGCCCGAUGGUUGUGCUGACACCUUUCCGAAGACCGAAUGCAGCUGGCCACGUAGAAACUCGGGAGUUCCUCUCGGGGACCGUGCCAGGGGAGCUGGAGCUCCAGCAGGGCGGCUUCGUGGUUAAAUGACUGACGCUGAUAUCUGAGAGCUUGAGUUCUUCACCUUCCAGUGGGAUAGGAAAUUUCUGGGAGGAAAUUCCUCAACUCUUCCUCAUUCCUUCUGCAAAACGGGAGUACCAUUCCCAACCGCACAGAGCGAAGAGAUCUAAAUGAAAUUAAAAGACACGCAGAGUUCUUAAACUAGAGUUUGGCACCCAGUAAACCUUCAAAAAGUGUUCAGUUUAAUCUAAGCGUCCUUGGAGGAUAGUUUUCUGAGCACGAUAUCCAAGAGGGAAUAGGCAGAUGAGAGAAAUAACAAGAAAAAGAGGAAAGAACUAAAUAGAAGGUUUUUAAACGUUUCUGUGCACCUCCCUUCUCCAAAUCUGAAUUCGAACGUCUUCCUUCAUCCAAACCUUCCCCCAUCUCGUCCCUUCCCUCUCACUCUCUGUCUUUCCUGUGAGCCCCCGUUAGAUUAACCAGACCUAUAUUUUGUCUAUCAUAGGACCCCUUAUAGCACCUCUAAUUUUCUUUUUUAAAAAUUUAGUUGCGAUUUAUAAUCAUUUGUAGAUGAAAAACGA